rnacentral:rRNA from 1 species
UACAGAGAGUGCAAACGUUGUUCGGAAUUACUGGGCUUAAAGCGCACGUAGGCGGCGCCGCAAGUGUGGGGUGAAAGCCCACGGCUUACCCGUGGAAUUGCCUGGCAGACUGCGGUGCUAGAGUGUGGUAGGGGAGAGCGGAACUCCUGGUGGAGCGGUGAAAUGCGUAGAUAUCUGGAGGAACACCGGUGGCGAAGGCGGCAUCCUGGACCGGCAUUGACGCUGAGGCGCGAAAGCUAGGGGAGCAAACGGG